rnacentral:misc_RNA from 1 species
AGGUCAUCGACUUUACCCUCAAUUUUGCGGGCAACUUAAGUUCAGAUCAUUUCAAAUUUUGUGGAGUUAAAACCGGCUGCAUGUCUGAGUUGGAUUGGCAAGUCAAGUCAAAAUUUGCCACCUCUAGUAGGGAAGGUAAAGAAAUAGCUUCCAAAAAAGGGAUUUCUUUUUUAUCUAAGAGUGUUGGUUUUUUCUCUCUUCUGGAGGACUGUGGAGAGAAGUAAUAUCAAAAUAUUUAUAAUUGUUGAAUAUUUAUAGUCAACGCCAACUAGUUUAAGAUUAAAGCUUUGUUGUUGUUAUUCUUGUACUGAUUAAAGGAUCAAUUUAAUGCCUAUCACAAACUUGGUCAGCACCAAUGAGAUGUUCAAUAAAAUUCCUAAGUGAGCUAUAAAGGUGAAUACAAGUGCAUGGUGAAUUUUAAUGGUAGCAAAUACAGAACAUGGGAUGUAUGACGUUGAAUUUGUUUUGUUAUAGAGAGUUAUACACUCCUUAGAUGGGGAAAGUGCCAAGCCUAAGGAAAUGGAAGAUGAGAAACAGAUGUUCUAGUACAAACAAUGUUUUGGUUUCAUUCCAAGAAAAAUGACAAUAUAAAUUUAUUUUUUUAAAGCUGAAUCAAAAUUGAUUUAAUAGUUUGGUCAUGUACAACGUAGAAAAUUAAAUGCUCCAUUAGGAAAUGUGAUAAAUUAGUAAGAGAGAGUGGGAAGGAGAGAGAAGGGGAGGGGGGAGACCUGAGAUUACGUGGAGGGAAGUAGCAUCCCAGAAUUUACUAGUUUUGGUUAUUGAGGCAGGCUUGGUUUUUAACAGAACUGAAUGGGUGAAAAAGGAUCCGUAUAGCCAACCCCAACGAGCUUGAAAUUAAGGCUUAGUAGUUGUUGUUGUUGUUAUUAUUGUUGGGAAGCAAAAUUGAUUUGAUCAUAUUGAGGACUAAUUUAAUGAACAAUCCAUUAAAUAGUCCUCAAUGUGACCAAAUCAAAUUGUCCUUGGUUUAACCGCAAGCAACUUCACUUGAUGACAGAAGAAUCUAUUCUUGAAGUACCAAAUUUUGAGAAUUUAUAUGUGGAGGGAAGUGAUUCUUCAAUGAAACAUUGA